UGGGAGUUCACUCAUCCUAGCUCCUGUGC
rnacentral:piRNA from 1 species